AAGGUUACCUUAGGUUCGUCCGCGGAGGGUUAGUCUGGUCCUAAGGUCAGGCCGAAAGGCGUAGUCGAUGGAUAACAGGUCAAUAUUCCUGUACCAGUUAUGUUUUGGGAAGGGGGACGGAGAAGGCUAGCCAAUCCAGAUGUUGGUUACUGGUUCAAGCGUUCAAGGCUUUGAGGAACGGAGAAAACGUUCUGAGCUGAGGCGUGAGUACGAGCUGCUACGGCAGCGAAGUUGGUGACGUCAUGCUUCCAAGAAAAUCCCUAUACCCGUUAAGGCAUAAUUGCCAGUACCCGAAACCGACACAGGUGGGGUGGUAGAGAAUACCGAGGGGCGCGAGAUAACUCUCUCUAAGGAACUCGGCAAAAUGGUCCCGUAACUUCGGGAGAAGGGAUGCCAGCGCGAGCUGGUCGCAGUGAAGAGGCCCAGGCGACUGUUUACCAAAAACACAGGUCUCCGCUAAGUCGCAAGACGAUGUAUGGGGGCUGACACCUGCCCAGUGCCGGAAGGUUAAGGAAGCUGGUUAGCGUAAGCGAAGCUAGUGACUGAAGCCCCGGUGAAC
rnacentral:rRNA from 1 species